rnacentral:rRNA from 1 species
AGUGACGCGGGGCCAAGAGCGGGGGGAAUACGGAGGGGGAAAGGGUUAAGCGGAAUUACUGGGCGGAAAGCGCACGCAGGAGGUUGGAUAAGUUAGGUGUGAAAGCCCCGGGCUCAACCUGGGAAUUGCAUUUAAAACUGUCCAGCUAGAGUCUUGUAGAGGGGGGUAGAAUUCCAGGUGUAGCGGUGAAAUGCGUAGAGAUCUGGAGGAAUACCGGUGGCGAAGGCGGCCCCCUGGACAAAGACUGACGCUCAGGUGCGAAAGCGUGGGGAGCAAACAGGAUUAGAUACCCCGGUAGUC